rnacentral:rRNA from 1 species
UAGAUACCCGGGUAGUCCACACCGUAAACGAUGAAUGCCAGACGUCAGCAAGCAUGCUUGUUGGUGUCACACCUAACGGAUUAAGCAUUCCGCCUGGGGAGUACGGUCGCAAGAUUAAAACUCAAAGGAAUUGACGGGGGCCCGCACAAGCGGUGGAGCAUGUGGUUUAAUUCGACGCAACGCGCAGAACCUUACCAACCCUUGACAUACUUGUCGCGGAUUCCAGAGAUGGAUUCCUUCAGUUCGGCUGGACAAUGUACAGGUGCUGCAUGGCUGCCGUCAGAAGGG